rnacentral:miRNA from 1 species
CCAGUUAAAUUUGAAUAUUUGAUAAACUAGAACUAUUUCUGUAACAGAGUGUUGUCAUACAACAUUUGAGACAUACUUACGCUAAAGGCCACGUUUUAUCUAGACUUUAUCAUCCAUGACUAGCCAUCCUGU